AGUGAACGCUGGCGGCGUGCUUAACACAUGCAAGUCGAACGAGAACGGACUAAAGCUUGCUCUAGUUGUCAGCUAAGUGGCGCACGGGUGAGUAAUGUAUAGGUAAUAUGCCUCUUAGUAAGGGAUAACAAGCGGAAACGCUUGCUAAUACCUUAUAUGCCUUUUAAACACAAGUUUGUAAAGGGAAAGAUUUAUCGCUAAGAGAUUGGCCUGUAUGGUAUCAGCUUGUUGGUGGGGUAAAGGCCUACCAAGGCUAUGACGCCUAACUGGUUUGAGAGGAUGAUCAGUCACACUGGAACUGAGACACGGUCCAGACUCCUACGGGAGGCAGCAGUGGGGAAUAUUGCACAAUGGGCGAAAGCCUGAUGCAGCAACGCCGCGUGGAGGAUGACACUUUUCGGAGCGUAAACUCCUUUUAUAUAGGAAGAUAAUGACGGUACUAUAUGAAUAAGCACCGGCUAACUCCGUGCCAGCAGCCGCGGUAAUACGGAGGGUGCAAGCGUUACUCGGAAUCACUGGGCGUAAAGAGCGUGUAGGCGGAUAAGUAAGUUUGAAGUGAAAUCCUAUGGCUCAACCAUAGAACUGCUUUGAAAACUGCUUAUCUAGAGUAUGGGAGAGGCAGAUGGAAUUUCUGGUGUAGGGUAAAAUCCGUAAUAUCGGAAGGAAUACCGAUUGCGAAGGCGAUCUGCUGGAACAUUACUGACGCUAAGACGCGAAAGCGUGGGGAGCAAACAGG
rnacentral:rRNA from 1 species